AUCAACCCUUUCAUUACAAAAAAAAAAAAAAAAAAAAAAAAAAAAAUU
rnacentral:ribozyme from 1 species